GACGAACGCUGGCGGCGUGCCUAAUACAUGCAAGUAGAACGCUGAAGGAGGGGCUUGCUUCUCUGGAUGAGUUGCGAACGGGUGAGUAACGCGUAGGUAACCUGCCUGGUAGCGGGGGAUAACUAUUGGAAACGAUAGCUAAUACCGCAUAAUAGCAGUUGUUGCAUGACAACUGUUUGAAAGGUGCAAUUGCACCACUACCAGAUGGACCUGCGUUGUAUUAGCUAGUUGGUGGGGUAACGGCUCACCAAGGCGACGAUACAUAGCCGACCUGAGAGGGUGAUCGGCCACACUGGGACUGAGACACGGCCCAGACUCCUACGGGAGGCAGCAGUAGGGAAUCUUCGGCAAUGGACGGAAGUCUGACCGAGCAACGCCGCGUGAGGGAAGAAGGGUUUCGGAUCGUAAAGCUCUGUUGUAAGAGAAGAACGAGUGUGAGAGUGGAAAGUUCACACUGUGACGGUAUCUUACCAGAAAGGGACGGCUAACUACGUG
rnacentral:rRNA from 1 species